rnacentral:rRNA from 1 species
GAUGAACGCUGGCGGCGUGCCUAAUACAUGCAAGUCGAGCGAACGGACGAGAAGCUUGCUUCUCUGAUGUUAGCGGCGGACGGGUGAGUAACACGUGGAUAACCUACCUAUAAGACUGGGAUAACUUCGGGAAACCGGAGCUAAUACCGGAUGAUAUUUUGAACCGCAUGGUUCAAAAGUGAAAGACGGUCUUGCUGUCACUUAUAGAUGGAUCCGCGCUGCAUUAGCUAGUUGGUAAGGUAACGGCUUACCAAGGAAACGAUGCAUAGCCGACCUGAGAGGGUGAUCGGCCACACUGGAACUGAGACACGGUCCAGACUCCUACGGGAGGCAGCAGUAGGGAAUCUUCCGCAAUGGGCGAAAGCCUGACGGAGCAACGCCGCGUGAGUGAUGAAGGUCUUCGGAUCGUAAAACUCUGUUAUUAGGGAAGAACAUAUGUGUAAGUAACUGUGCACAUCUUGACGGUACCUAAUCAGAAAGCCUCGGCUAACUACGUG